AUUAAAGUUGGCAUUAAAUAAUUUUGCUAUAUACAAUAAGAGACUACAAUUUUUGAAAUAUGUAAUUUUUUCGUUUUUUUUUUAUUUCCUUUGGGGAAAGACAAAACGGUUGUCUCGAACCGGAAAGCAAAAAAAAAAAAAUAAAGUUAGCAACUUUGGAAAAUGGCUUCUCAGCUUACACAACCUUUUGCCCUUUCUCUCUUCUCUUCUUUUAGCCGUUGCUUUUUAACCCUUUCAUCGAUCGUGUCCAUCAAUCAAUACCCAUUUUUCUAUUUUUUCAAUCGAACCGAAGAAAAACUGAGAAAAAAGUUGCGAUUUUUCACCGCCGCCGUCGCCGUAGUUCAUUAUCGGCGGCGGCGAGCGGUAUUAUAAACCGGACUUGCCACUCUUUCUCUGUAAGACCACCCCCGACAUUGAUGUAUUCGAACAGUGACUGAGACUGAGACAGAGACAGGAACAGAGAGAGAUUGGGGGGGACAUAAGGCAGACAGAAGAAGAAGAUGAUGAUAGAUACGAUUCGUUGGUGAUGUUUAUGUUUAUGUGAAAUCUUUUUUUACUACUUUGCAAAUCAUUCUUUUGUUCCUCUUCAAGAAGACUAUAUAAAAUUAUGGCCUCUUCUGUG